AGUGAACGCUGGCGGUAGGCCUAACACAUGCAAGUCGAACGGCAGCACAGUAAGAGCUUGCUCUUACGGGUGGCGAGUGGCGGACGGGUGAGGAAUACAUCGGAAUCUACUUUUUCGUGGGGGAUAACGUAGGGAAACUUACGCUAAUACCGCAUACGACCUACGGGUGAAAGCAGGGGAUCUUCGGACCUUGCGCGAUUGAAUGAGCCGAUGUCGGAUUAGCUAGUUGGCGGGGUAAAGGCCCACCAAGGCGACGAUCCGUAGCUGGUCUGAGAGGAUGAUCAGCCACACUGGAACUGAGACACGGUCCAGACUCCUACGGGAGGCAGCAGUGGGGAAUAUUGGACAAUGGGCGAAAGCCUGAUCCAGCCAUACCGCGUGGGUGAAGAAGGCCUUCGGGUUGUAAAGCCCUUUUGUUGGGAAAGAAAAGCAGCAGGUUAAUACCCCGCUGUUAUGACGGUACCCAAAGAAUAAGCACCGGCUAACUUCGUG
rnacentral:rRNA from 1 species